GAUGAACGCUGGCGGCGUGCUUAACACAUGCAAGUCGAACGGAAAGACCCUGCUUUUGCUGCGUUCUCGAGUGGGGCACGGGUGAGUAUCACGUGAGUAACCUGCCCUUGAAUUUGUGAUAACUUUAGGAAACUGGGGCUCAUACCCGGUAGAAGAUCCUGAUGCACGGGGGUGGUUGGAAAGAUUCGGCGGUUGGGGAUGGACUCGCGGGUUAUCAGCUUGUUGGUGGGGUAGGUGCUUACCAAGGCUUUGACGGGUAGCCGGCCUGGGAGGGUGACCGGCCACAUUGGGACUGAGAUACGGCCCAGACGCCUACGGGAGGCAGCAGUGGGGAAUAUUGCACAAUGGGCGGAAGUCUGAUGCAGCAACGCUGCGUGCGGGAUGACGGCCUUCGGGGGGUAAACCGCUUUCGCCGGUGACGAAGCGUGAGUGACGGUAAUGGGUAAAGAAGCACCGGCUAACUACGUG
rnacentral:rRNA from 1 species